AUGAAUUUUGGAACAGUACAAUAAUUGACCAACUUUUGCCUCUUAUUUACAAAAUUGCCCACGCCCAGCUUCCUUUUUCUUCAAUAGAGUGAGAGGACCGGAAAUUCUGUUGAGAGAGAGAAGAAACAGAGGUAGAAUCGAAGAGAGAGAGCGCGUGAACGGGAGGGGAUCCGGCAAUCAUCUAUGGUCGGCCACCAUGUUUUGGUGACCAUCUCUGUCUUCCCCCCUGGUUCUAGCCCGGUAGCGCCUACGGUUUCAGCAGAGCUACGGCCAGUUAGAUUCGUUUACAAAUGAAUACCCUUAUCCAAUUCCACCACAUCCCUCGACGUCUCCCCUUCCUCCCUCUUCUCCCAGUUUCGAUUCCGGCGAACCCUCCAUCGGAAUCCACGCUUGAUGCUUGUCGUCUGAAAUUUGAGAUUUGACAGAUUGCAUGUACAAAUUUGGGUCUACUUGUGUUCAUUGUAGAUUCUGCAGUUCUAAAAGCUACUCGAAUUUGGUCUCCAUUCAGGAAUAGGCACACGUCGCCCAUCAAAACAGAGAGAGAAAGCCUUCGGCGAAGGAGGAAGCCGACCUCCAGUGACCAGGCCUCCGUAGGCAACGACAGUGGAAGACGGUCGCGAUAUGGUCAUUGACGAUGGUGUGUGACGCUAAUGGCUAGACGACAGUGGAAGACGGUCGCAAUAUGGUCGUCGUCAAUGGUGUGUUACUCUAAUGUAUAGAUAGUCGUUUAUGCCGGUGUAUGACGCUAUUGGCUCCAACGGGUCACAUAUAGUCUCAGAGGAAGGGCGAAGGUAGACGAGUAAAAACUCUCUCAAUUCUUUCUGAAUUUAUAUGUUCGUUAAUGGAGAUUCGUGUGGCUACGCCUUUAAUCUUCAGUAUUGGACUAUAGAAGUUGGAAUUCAUCAUGUCAAACAUCACCGUAAGUUAUAUCUUCUCCGCUUAAUUCUCCGAGAGGUGGCGAUUGCUUAGAGGCUUUGCUUGCAGCGACCUUUUUUUUUGUCUGCUUUUGACGGAACCAUCGAGAACUAGGAGCUUUUACAAUCGAUUGGUGGUUUUAAUUUGUGCAAAUGACCACUCAUGAUGUAUCUUCUACGCAAUAUAUGAUUAUAACUCUAUUGAAUUUGUGUAACAUUUGUAACAGGUUUACAUUUGCGUUGAUUGUGUGUGAUGAUUUGUCUAAGUGAAAACUACUAUCUGGUUUGGUCGUAUCUGCAAGAAAAAAAAAGCGAGGCUUUGUUCU
rnacentral:lncRNA from 1 species